GGGUUAAAAGCAGCUGCCUUUGGGGCUUUGUGAGGAUUGAAUGCUUGUAUGUGGGUGCUUGGCACAGGGUCUGCUCCACAGCAGAUUCUCAAAAACUUUAGCUAAUGUUAUUAGUGCACUGUUUAGGUUAGUUUUCAAAGUUCUACCACAGGACUUUUUGCUUAUCUACCCAUUCCUUUCUGAGAGACAGAGUAAGUAAUUUUAGUGUUAUUUUAUAAGUGAGAAAAUCAAGGUUUGGAGUUCAGUUAGCUUUGCUUACCCAGAUUUGCAAGUGGCACAGCUCAGAUCCAAGCCCAGUACUUCUUGAAGUUUUCUCUGGAUGGCUUAGUAAGAUGUAGCCUGAGUCAUAAUGUUGGGUUCCAGAAAUGGUUAGGCCUAGUGCUUCACAUUAUUGUUGAUUUCAUUGUGCUAGUGGACCACCCUUCAGAGACCACUGAUUAGGAACAGCCCUGUGUCCACUAGAGGACAAGGCCAUUUCUGCCAUUGGAAGGCUGGUCUUUGCUCAAGUUGUGCCAUUGAGUCACACUUUAUCUCUGCUUUCAGUGUUGCUUUUUUUUACUGCCUCAUGUCCUAUGUCAGGACCAGGAGUUAGACUGAGGCUGUAUGUGGGGGAAAGAACUAGGAGAUAAGAGAUUGUUUUGGAGGACAACUUUCCCUAUCCAUUAGGAAUAGGAGCAGAGCCCUCCUGGGAGCUGAGGGAGCCCUGAAGCCAUUACAUGUGGCCUUCUCUCAUCUCCAGCAGAGGAGGCUCACGUGGUUCACAGUCAGGGCAAAAGGAGAAGUUGCAUUCUGAGAGUAAGACCUGUUCCGAUCCUAUCUGGUGGGGGCCACAGUCAACCAGUCUGUUUUCUCAUUUUCCAUCAGAACAUCAUAAUGCACCUUGAAGUUGUUGUGUUAAGCCUCAUACUGCUUCUAACAGGUAAGUGAGCAGGUGGGCUGGGGGGUUGGGUGGGUACUUGGUAUGGUGAAGGAAGAUAGUUGUUCUUUGCAGUUUCUUAGGUGGUUAUGGGUUAUCUGAUGAGCAGAACCAGGAUGAAAUCUUACUCCAAAGAAAUUGCUUAAUGGCUAUCAAUUACAAAAUCGAUUGCUAAGUGAGCAGGACAAGAUGCAGAAACAUAUUUCACAUGCUGCCAUUUGUGCUUGAACAAAAAGAGGGGCGGUAGAUGUAUAUGCAUAGCCAAAUGUGUGUAAGAAAUAGUAAUUACCCUGGGGUGUGGGGGGGCUGGGCAGAGGAGGUGGGGAUGGGGUAGAAGGGAGAGUUAGCCUGUCAUUACUUCCUUUUUUGUCUUUUGGAGUUUUUAAACAAUGUUCACUUAUUUCAUUUAAAAAUAAAUGCUUGCCUGUGGCUCAUGCCUGUAAUCCCAUUGAUUUGGGAGACUGAGGCAGGAGGACACACAUUCAAGGCCAACUUCAGCAAUUUAGGGAGAUCCUCAGCAACAUGGCUAGCUCCUGUCUCAAAAUAAAAGCAUAAAGAAGACUGAGGAUAUAGCUCAGUGGGAAAGCAUAAACAAAUUAAAAAAAAAACAAAUAAAAUAUUUUAAUUCAAAGCUUUCUGUACACAGGGCGAAAGUUUUGAAUAAACAUUUCCUAAAUUUUAAAGACUAAUCCUGGAGGGUGGGAUUAUGGGAGAAAGUUCUUUUUAAAAAUUAUAUACUUCUAUAAACUAAUUAUGACAUCAUGUGCUAUAUUUGCAAAAAUCAUUAGGCAAAAUCAAGAGAGUUUCAGAGCUGGGUUGUAGCUCAGUGGUAGACUGCUUGCCUAGUAUGUGUGAGACACUGGGUUUUAUUCUCAGCAUGGCAUAUGCAUACAUAAAAAAACUAAAGGUUCAUCAACAACUAAAAAAAAUUCAGUGAGAAAUAUACCCUUAUUUUAUAUAAUAAUGAUCUUUUUUUUUUUUUUUCUCUCAGAAAAUUUCCUACUCACAGCCUGGUCCUGCCUGUUAGUUAGUAAAUCUCAAAUUAGUUCUCAUUUAAAUAUUUUCCAAUUCUGUGGCUGCCUUGUGUUAGUAAGCCUUGCUUAGUUGCUGGGCUGUCAUCAACUGAUGACAAGAUCCCUGCUUAAAAGGCUUUUGGAUUGAUCCUAACAUUCAUGUAAAACUCAGCAGCUCCUGGAAGUAUUGUAACCCCAUUUUCAAAAAUCAAUUUCUGAAGAGUCUAUUAGACUUCAGCCCUCAAGCCAACAAUGUUUCAAACAAACAUCAGUCCUGCUUUUGUGUAGGAGAAGUGGAGUAGUGAGGAGGUGAUUUCAUCUGCAAUAACAGUUUUCAAAGGCCAUGAAAAUUAAAACAUUGAAAUUUAAGUGCAAUAGAAUUAAUUCUUUUUUUUUUUAAAAAAAAGUAUUUCAAUGGAUACAAGUGAAUUUGGAAGAAAGAACUGAGGCACUGGAGUGGGAAGGAGACUUUUCUCUAGGCUUCAAUAUCCUUGGUGUUAUUUUCAUUUUUAAAAACCACAAGUUUACAUUGCGUAUUUAAAAAUCAAUAAUAUGCAGGUACCUGGUGAACACAGGGUAAAAUACAUACAUGCAAUACUUGAGUAUCAUUUGGUUAAAACCUUUUGAAAGCAAUUUGGCCAUCUUCAUCAAAAGAUGAAAAUAUUCCUUCCCUUUAUCCUGGUCAUUUCUCUCUUAGAAAUUUAUCCCCCUAGGGAACUUAAAUACAGUAAAGGUUUAAUAGAAAGAUUUUGUCACAUUACUUACAAUGGUAAUAAUGAGGAAGAGCUUGAAAAUCAUCCAAUGCAAAUAAAUUGUAUUGUCUACAAAUAUAUCCAUUAAACAAAACAUUUAUUUGAAGAAUAUGCUAAAAACUGUUUAUAGUAUCAAAAUUUCAAAAUCAAUCUAUAAAGCCAUGCCUACGAAACAAACUGUAAAAAGAAACAUGAGAAUAAAUAAAUUAAAAAGUGAAAAAAAGAUUUUAGGAAAAUAUCAAGACCUCAUUCUCAGUUUCUGCUCCCUGUGUUUCAGAUGCUGUGGUUUCUUAUACUCAAGUGAGUGGAGUGGUGGGUCAUCGGGUCAUUAUUCCCUGUAGCUACUCAGUCACCAGUGGAGUCACAUCCAUGUGCUGGGGCCGAGGGGCAUGUCCUACAUCUAAAUGCUCAAAUGAACUCAUCUGGACUGAUGGAUCUCAAGUCACCUUCCAGAAACACAGGCGUUAUAAGCUGGAGGGGAACCUUUUGCAAGGGAAUGUGUCUUUGACCAUAGAGAAUGCAGCUAAGACUGAUAGUGGCCUAUAUUGUUGUCGAAUUGAGCAUAGCGGGUGGUUUAAUGAUAUGAAACUCACCUUAUCCUUGGAGAUUAAACCAGGUAAGCUUG
rnacentral:lncRNA from 1 species